rnacentral:rRNA from 1 species
UACGUAGGUGGCAAGCGUUGUUCGGAUUUAUUGGGCUUAAAGGGUGCGCAGGCGGUCAUAUAAGUCAGCGGUGAAAUCCCGCAGCUCAACUGUCGAUGUGCCAUUGAUACUGUAUGACUUGAGUACUGAUGAGGUAGGCGGAAUUGACGGUGUAGCGGUGAAAUGCUUAGAUAUCGUCAAGAACACCGAUAGCGAAGGCAGCUUACUAAGCAGUAACUGACGCUGAGGCACGAAAGUGUGGGGAUCAAACAGG